rnacentral:rRNA from 1 species
CGGAGGAGGCAAGCGUUAUCCGGAAUUACUGGGCGUAAAGAGUUGCGUAGGUGGCAGAGUAAGUCUGUAGUGAAAGCGUGUGGCUCAACCACAUACACAUUAUGGAAACUGCUCAGCUAGAGGACGAGAGAGGUUAUUGGAAUUCCCAGUGUAGGAGUGAAAUCCGUAGAUAUUGGGAGGAACACCGAUGGCGUAGGCAGAUAACUGGCUCGUUCCUGACACUAAGGCACGAAAGCGUGGGGAGCAAACGGGAUUAGAUACCCCGGUAGUCCACGCCGUAAACUAUGGAUGCUAGCUGUAAGAGGUAUCGACCCCUCUUGUAGCGAAGCUAACGCGUUAAGCAUCCCGCCUGUGGAGUACGGUCGCAAGACUA